rnacentral:rRNA from 1 species
GAUGAACGCUGACAGAAUGCUUAACACAUGCAAGUCCACUUGAAUUUGGGUUUUUACCUUAGGUUUGGGUGGCGGACGGGUGAGUAACGCGUAAAGAACUUGCCUCACAGCUAGGGACAACAUUUGGAAACGAAUGCUAAUACCUAAUAUUAUGAUAAUAGGGCAUCCUAUAAUUAUGAAAGCUAUAAGCGCUGUGAGAGAGCUUUGCGUCCCAUUAGCUAGUUGGAGAGGUAACGGCUCACCAAGGCGAUGAUGGGUAGCCGGCCUGAGAGGGUGAUCGGCCACAAGGGGACUGAGACACGGCCCUUACUCCUACGGGAGGAAGCAGUGGGGAAUAUUGGACAAUGGACCAAGAGUCUGAUACAGCAAUUCUGUGUGCACGAUGAAGUUUUUCGGAAUGUAAAGUGCUUUCAGUUGGGAAGAAAGAAAUGACGGUACCAACAGAAGAAGUGACGGCUAAAUACGUG